GCCACAUGAUGACAUGUGUAGCUGCAGGAGCUCUCGGGCUUUGACGACAUGCUAUCUAUCACCCUUGUCUGAUGGCC